rnacentral:piRNA from 1 species
CACGGUUGAGAAACGCGGCGACGGACGC